GCGCCCGUAGCUCAGUAGGAUAGAGCGUUCGCCUCCUAAGCGAAAGGCCGUUGGUUCGAUUCCAAUCGGGCGUGCCA
rnacentral:tRNA from 1 species